ACGAACGCUGGCGGCGUGCCUAACACAUGCAAGUCGAGCGGAGAAUGCAGAAAUGUUUACAUGGAAGCGUUCUUAGCGGCGGACGGGUGAGUAACACGUGGGUAACCUGCCCAUAAGAGGGGGAUAACAUCCGGAAACGGGUGCUAAUACCGCAUAGGUUUCUUGGUCGCAUGAUCGAGAAAGGAAGACGGCUUUGNGCUGUCGCUUAUGGAUGGACCCGNGGCGUAUUAGUUAGUUGGUGAGGUAAUGGCUCACCAAGACGAUGAUACGUAGCCGACUGAGAGGGUNAUCGGCCA
rnacentral:rRNA from 1 species